rnacentral:lncRNA from 10 species
GGCUCCAUCAGGAACUGUGCAGGACUGUGCACUCUGUUGAUACUCACAUGGUGGAAUUAUAUUGCCUUUGGCCAACCCUAAAGCCAUCAAGAUAGCAGGGUCUGGUCUACCGAGAAGAGAGAUCAAAGAGCUCUUCAGCUGUUCCCAGCUCCCCACACAAAUCUACCUAACAAAGUCCCGAUAAACAGUCUGUUUUCUGGAGUCUAUCAAUACUGGAUGAGGUCUUGUUCUUUUGGCCAGGCUGGAGUGCAGUGGUACAGUCGUGACUCACUGCAGCUUCAAACACCUGGGUUCCAGCAUUCAUCCCACUUCAGCCUCCCGUGUAGCCGGG